rnacentral:tRNA from 1 species
UAUUCCCUAUUCGUUACACGAAGAGCAAGCUCGUCUAGCAAGCUCGCAAUCCGCAAUCUGCAAUAAAAAAU